rnacentral:rRNA from 1 species
GACGAACGCUGGCGGCGUGCUUAACACAUGCAAGUCGAACGGAAAGGCCUCUUUCGGGGGGUACUCGAGUGGCGAACGGGUGAGUAACACGUGAGUAACCUGCCCUUGACUUUGGGAUAACUUCAGGAAACUGGGGCUAAUACCGGAUAGGAGCUCCUGCUGCAUGGUGGGGGUUGGAAAGUUUCGGCGGUUGGGGAUGGACUCGCGGCUUAUCAGCUUGUUGGUGGGGUAGUGGCUUACCAAGGCUUUGACGGGUAGCCGGCCUGAGAGGGUGACCGGCCACAUUGGGACUGAGAUACGGCCCAGACUCCUACGGGAGGCAGCAGUGGGGAAUAUUGCACAAUGGGUGGAAGCCUGAUGCAGCAACGCCGUGUGCGGGAUGACGGCCUUCGGGUUGUAAACCGCUUUCGCUCAUGACGAAGCUUUAUGUGACGGUAGUGGGUAAAGAAGCACCGGCUAACUACGUG